AGCGAACGCUGGCGGCAGGCCUAACACAUGCAAGUCGAACGAACCUUUCGGGGUUAGUGGCGGACGGGUGAGUAACACGUGGGAACGUGCCUUUAGGUUCGGAAUAACUCAGGGAAACUUGUGCUAAUACCGAAUGUGCCCUUCGGGGGAAAGAUUAAUCGCCUUUAGAGCGGCCCGCGUCUGAUUAGCUAGUUGGUUGAGGUAAUGGCUCACCAAGGCGACGAUCAGUAGCUGGUCUGAGAGGAUGAUCAGCCACAUUGGGACUGAGACACGGCCCCAACUCCUACGGGAAGCAGCAGUGGGGAAUCUUGCGCAAUGGGCGAAAGCCUGACGCAGCCAUGCCGCGUGAAUGAUGAAGGUCUUAGGAUUGUAAAAUUCUUUCACCGGGGACGAUAAUGACGGUACCCGGAGAAGAAGCCCCGGCUAACUUCGUG
rnacentral:rRNA from 1 species